GACGAACGCUGGCGGCGUGCUUAACACAUGCAAGUCGAACGCAGUGGCGAACGGGCGAAUAACGCGUAAUCACCCUGCCCUUCAACGGGGGACAACAGUUGGAAACGACUGCUAAUACCGCAUACGGAAGGAGGGGCGUGCGUCUGAUGCGAUGGUUGGAGGGGUAACGGCCUACAAAGGCGCAGAUCAGUAGCCGGUCCUAGAGGAUUAACGGCCAAAGUGGGACUGAGACCCGGCCCAGACGCCUACGGGAGGCAGCAGUGGGGAAUCUUCCGCCAUGGACGAAAGUCUGACGGGGCAACGCCGCGUGAGUGAUGACGGCCUUCGGGUUGUAAAGCUCUGUUUAUCGGGACGCGGUACCUGAAUAGAAAGCCACGGCUAACUACGUGCCAGCCGCCGCGGUAAUAC
rnacentral:rRNA from 1 species